rnacentral:tRNA from 1 species
GGUGGCUCAGUGGUAGAGCGUUUGCCUUGUAGACAUGAGGCCCUGGGUUCGAUUCCUCAGCACCA